rnacentral:misc_RNA from 1 species
GAACAUGACUCAGAUGGCCGAUCCUUUGACUGCGCUAAUGUACGCGGUUAAAGUGAUGGAUUUUCUGAAAACGCUGAUCCUAAUGAAACUCAAAGAAAGGCAGGAGUCUACGUUUGAGGAUUCUCCGAUUCCCCAAUCGGACCCAUCUGACGAGAAUGGCCACCAUAGUCCACAGUUCCAUGUACAGGCCUGCACCGAAGAAGCAACCAAGCCAG